UUAAUUUGGAAUUCAAACAUAACAUAAUUAAAGUCUCAUCAUAUAAAAGAUAAACUCAAGUCCACUUGAAAUAUCUAUAAAAAUCCAAACAAACUUCAAACAUAACUAAAGAUACAUAAUUCAAAAGUUAAGUGAACUUGUAAUAUAUUUUGCAAUUUAAAAAAACUACAAACAUAAUCCUAAUAGCCUACAUAAUCAGUAUUGUCAUCUUCUUAUUGCCUAGGUGGUUUCUUUUGCCUUAGUGGUUGCUUUUGCCUUGGUGGUUCUUGUUGCAACGAUACUUGUUCAUAUUGUUGUUGAACGACACUUGGUAUAUCAGAAGGAAGCACGAUCCCAACAAUCAAAACCUAAGAAUAGGUACCUAACUACAUAACACAAAAUAGAGAAAAGGAAAAUGUCAUUAUCAAUCAAUUGUCAAAUUCUAAUGUAUAUUAAAUUAAUUCUAACAAUUUUCCCUGUUUCCUCUUAAUUAUGUAUGAAUCAAUUCCUUCCAAAAGACAUCAAAAAUUGAAAUAAGAAAUAUAUUUGAAUAUUUUUUUUAAAUGCCACCUUUGUGGUUUUAUUAUAGGUUGGCCUAAAAAGGGUUAUAGAUUUGAAUUCCAAUUCCAAUACAUCACAAAAAAGAAAAGAAAAAAUGUAAAUGCAUUUGAAACAUGUCCUCUAAAAUGUUUCAGGUGUUAAAAUCAAUGCAUUAUGCCAUGUUGCAGUAAAAAAACAACAUUGGUUAUUUUUCUUAACUAAAAAAGAGCAUAAUAUAUAGCAUACAUUUUAUGACUUAUUUAAUCUCAUCAGUAGCGAUCUAGAUAUGGUCACAAUAAGUUAACUUGAUUCAUAAAUAAAUUAAUUUGUAGUCGAACCAGCACUACCUAACUCUUAGCCUAAUCACUACUAUCAACAUAAAUAAAUUGUUAUAUAAACAUACUCAUAUGCUUUUUUGUCCAACUUUGAUCUUCAUCAAAAGUCCAGCUUCACACAAAACAGAGAAAGCCUCGAUAAAAGGCAAUAAUCUAUGUGUUCCUGUAGGAAGAGGUGGUGAUGUAGAAGAACCUUGCAGAUUCUCAGCAACAUUUAUGUUUGACAUGUUAGGAGAGAAAGAGCUCUGUCCAAGUUGCAUCUCAGUAGAACUUAUACAAACUCAGUUAUUGCCACAAUGGCUCAAGCGUAGUGUUUAAAUUCCAAAUAGUUGCUUGAUCAUCAUGUUGAUCCACACCAUUAUUAAUAUCCAUCUCACUCACAGUAUUAAUUGAAGUGAGUGAACUAAGAGCUUGCAGCACACGUAGAAUGGCUGCACCAACCAUAGAAUUGGUGAAAGAAAUGCAUAAUAGAAUGAAAAAUAUAAUCACCGGAUCGUGUAUUUUGCACUAGUGGAUAUAGAAUGACACGGAUUCAUGCAGGAAAAGCAAUAUUCAAAGCCAUUUCUAACUAUGAUAUGAAUCACUAGCUUGGCAAAUCAUAUUGAACCAUGCAACUCUAAGAAUUAUAACAUGACUCCUAAACAAUAAUAAAAAAUAUAUAUACAACAAAGAUGUGGUUAAUUUGGGUUUGAACGGUCUAAUAAAUUGGACAAGAAAUCAAUAAAUUACAAAUGAUAAGUUAACAUUCCAAGUAAUUAAAACCAAUUAAUUUUUAUAAGAACUUGCUGGAAAAAAAUACACAUCUUUGGAUGUUCCAAUAUUUGGGCCUUAUAUUAUUUUAGUCCAUGUACUUGAAAAUGAAAGUCCACUAGAUGAUGGCAGUAGAAUGGAAAGAGAUUAAGUUGUUAGAAUGACAUCAAUUUAAAUUAUAUAUGAAACCAAAGUACUAAUAAAAUUAUCUCUCACUUUGUGCUUGUUUUGCACAUAACACACCUAUUUGUUGGAGUCAAAAGUCUCUUAUAGAGAUUAUCUCCUGUACACAAACUACAAACAAAUUCAUAAUAUCUAAUUAUAAAGUGAUGAUUUUAUUGAAUAAAAAUAUAAAGUGGUGAUUUUAUUGAAUAAAAAUAUAAAGUUAUUUAAAAAAUUUAGUUCAUAGGAAUUUUUCUAAUUUCUUUAACUCCUCUAGCCCAAUUUGCAACAAGCCCAACUAAAAUUCAGUCACGGAAAAAGAGCCAACACAGGGAGCAUCAGUAAAAAAAUUCAUGCAUUUGUGUAGAUCAAUUUAACUUGUCAAAGAUUACCCACUUGGUUUAGUGGUUGCUGCUCAAGAUUUUGGGGAAGCUCAAAGUUAUUAAGACUCAAACCGAGAAGAGUAGAUCCUAGCUGCACAAUUCACAAACCAUGUAUACUUGUAAUAAGAACAUGAUAAUUUAGCUUUCAAAACAAAUUAUUAGCUAUUCUAAAAUAUUUAUAUUGAAUAUAAACAAAAACAAAAAAAGAAGUAAAGAAUAGGUAGAGAUAAAGGUGAAGCGCAAGAAAAAUAAGCUAGGAAGUAGUAUAUAUACAACAUAACAUGGAUGGUAAUUAACUUACAAUAUUUCUCAUGGAGGGUUCCAGAGUUCAGUUCAGUGCAUUUGUAUUACUAACACGUGCCUUUUUCUGAAUUUCUAGCAAGUUUUUCAAUGCAAUUUUGUCCUCCGUUUAUAUAGACUUUAUGGCAGUCACAGUUAAUGAGAUGGUGUGAUAUCAUAUAUGCAAAUAUAUCUUCCCUUUCUUCUUUAUGAUACAUCUAUACGUACAAAGUAGGCGGUCCAGAUUUACAUGCAUGCUUAAACAAGUGGUUUAACUACUAUUAUAACCAUUACUUAAUACUUCUUAGGCAUAAAUGCAUUCCUGGCUAAUUAAGUGAUAACAUUUAUCAAUUUGUGUAGCUUUUGAAUUGAACCUAAGGAAAGAAUUUUAAAAUGAAAAAUAAAAAUCUCUAUCGUGUUCAACUUGCAUGAAAAUACUAACUCUUGCUGACCUAAUUUACUUUAAUAAAAAUGUUGAAAAUACUAACCCUUGCAAAAAUUUAAUAUGCAACAACACUCCCUUCAUAAUCUUUGAGUCACUUGGUUUUACCUUGGAAUAACACCAAAAAGUGGUCAACAGUAAUAUAAGUCUAAAUAGCAUGAAUUUUUACAACAUUUUUUUAAAUAGAGUUUGUGUGUCCAAUAAAUAUAUAGGUAUAAUUUCCCCUGCUUAGGGAUACUUUCCAACACAUGUAACUGGAAAAUUCCAUGGGAUAUCCAUGCUUAAAUGAAAUAAUACCUUGAUCCAAUCAUGAAGUAGAGAAAUAACUCUUGCAUUCUCCUAGUUCAUCCAAAGUUACUAUAGCUCCUGAAAAUCAUUUAAAAUAUAUUUAGAAAGACAAAAAUCAGAAGAACAAAACUAACAUCCAAAACUUAUUUUAAGAGUAGUUAGGAUCUCUUGGUUUUUUUUAUCAGCUAAUUAAAUUAAAGGAUACUUAAGGGGCCCUUUAACAAAAAAAUGCAAAAGCAACAAAGAUGUUCUAAUCAUCUAUGUCUCUAUUACAACCCUACACUAGUGCUUAUAACAGAGAAAUGCGCAGCUAAGAAUCCCUUUAAUGCAUCAUCAGUGCAUAAACAAGACAACACUAUAUUCCACACAUUAUGCAUCACCCUAAAAAUUCAGAAAGCACAACACUUUAAUUACAUAGGACAGAACCAGUGGUGACACUAACAAGUCAGAGGAGCAUUAUCCAAACUUCACAACAUGACCAUGAUUAGGAGGGCCUCUGGAAAACUCCCACUAGAGAAUGAUGUGAUUGGAGGAUAUGUAACUAUAAUACCAUAAAGCAUGCCACCUUCCAUCAGAAUUCCACCGCAAUACGAAAUGACUUAGCCAUGAUACUUCCUCGUGCAUAAAGAUAUGUGCCUGUUUUAUGUGUGGUAGGAAUUGAUUUCUAGACAACACCUGCAUCAACUGCAUAGACGAAUACCGCAGAAAAUAUAACAGUUUAAGGCUCCUUAGUGCAAAACGCAGGUAAUAACCAGCCAUCAAAGGAAAGGAUGAGCAAAAAACAUAUUUCAUAUCUAGAUAGAGUGAACAACCGCAUGUCCCAGGGCAUGGUUAAAUAAUGUUGCUACAAAUUCCUCGAGCCUACUCUCAUAUAUCACAAAGUAUAUCAUAAAUGAUUUUGUGGUUUUUUUCAUAAUGUUCAAAAGGGGAUUGUAUGGUAAAACUGAAAUUGUUAUAUGCUAAAGUUUUGGAAUUUGAUUAAUAUUAUUAUUGGGUUGUUAAGAUUUAAUUAGUUAGGAUUUUAUCAUUUAUUUAUUUUAUUAGGAUUUUAUCAUUUAUUUAUUUUAUUAGGAUUUUAUCAUUUAUUUAAUUAGUUAGGAUUUUAUUAGGAUUUUAUUGGGAUUUUAUGAUAUUUAGUACUCUAUAAAUAGAGUAUUGAACUAUUAUUUGAGAUAUGAAUAAUAUAUGCAAUUUGUUUCCUUUUCUCAAUUCUCUAUCAAUUCUCUAUCAUUGUUCUUGUUCUUGGUAUAAUCGGAAACCACCUAAAGGUUCCCUUUGUCCAAAGCCUAAUCGUUCUUCGAAAUCUCUUACGAGAUGACCUAGACGCUUCUACACACGAUCGUUCAUAUCAAUUGGUAUCAGCUAGGACCUUCCAGUACUUUCAAUGGCAGAUUCAACACGCUUCGCUCAAGCUGCUAAGGAGAUGGAAGAUCGAAUCUCCCAAAGGAUGGAUAAUAGGUUUCUGGAACUCGCGAAUACGUUGAAGGAAACCUUGACUCUUUCUAUAAAAGACACCAUGCAGGAAUUACUUACUCAAUCUCAAGGAGAAGGGGCCCAUGGCCUCUCCAAUGACAACAUGGGGUUUGGUGCAAUAUGCGAUGAUCCCAUGGUUGAGUUGUUGCGUUUACGACAAAAGACUUCAGUUGAUGCCUAUCAUGAAGAGUUCAAUUCAAUCAUUACAACAUUGAAGUUAUCUGAUGAUCAUAUUCUAGGGUGCUUCCUUGGUGGAUUAAAGAAAGAAAUCCAGAUGAUGGUAAGAAUGUUCCGACCUCAGUCUCUACAACAUGCGUUUACAUUGGCCAGGACGUAUGAAGGACAUAAUUCAAGCAAUUCGAUGGCCAAAUUCCACAGGGGAGUCUUGGGUCCAGCACCAGUGCCUAUAUCGUCGUCUGCUUCAAUCAAUGUGGCCCCUAAACCCAAACCAACACACCACUUCCCACUUGAGUUCAUAGCAGAACGUAGGGCCAAAGACCUUCUUCACGUCAUGGAGAUGGAGGAAGAUGACUCAUAUGAUAGUCCUCCCAGUUAUGUGACUGAAUUAUUGCAAAGGAAUGAGCCACAAAUCACAGUCAACGCAUUAACCAUAGUGGUUGGGUUCAGAACCAUGAGAAUAGUUGGAUAUCAUAAAAAACGACCUUUACAUAUUCUCAUUGAUAGUGGCAGCACUCAUAAUUUCAAAGAUACCCAAAUGGAUAAAAAAUAUGGGUGCAUAAUUGAUACGAUUGCCCAUUUGAAUGUCAUGGUAAGCUGAGCUCUACCACAAACCUUAAAAAAAUUAAGAAGGUUUUUGGGCUUAGCUGGAUAUUAUAGAAGAUUUGUUCGUGGGUAUGACGUCAUUGCUACACCUGAUAUGCUUAAGAAGGAUAAUUUCAUUUGAAGACGAAGUACCAUUGUUCCAUUCUUGAGGGCAAGAAUGUUGUUGAGGGGAGGGCAUUGUUAUAUGCUAAAGUUUUGGGAUUUGAUUAAUAUUAUUAUUGGGUUGUUAAGAUUUAAUUAGUUAGGAUUUUAUCAUUUAUUUAUUUUAUUAGGAUUUUAUUAGGAUUUUAUCAUUUAUUUAAUUAGUUAGGAUUUUGUUAGGAUUUUAUUAGGAUUUUAUGAUAUUUAGUACUCUAUAAAUAGAGUAUUGAACUAUUAUUUGAGAUAUGAAUAAUAUAUGCAAUUUGUUUCCUUUUCUCAAUUCUCUAUCAAUUCUCUAUCAUUGUUCUUGUUCUUGGUAUAAUCGGAAACCACCUAAAGGUUCCCUUUGUCCAAAGCCUAAUCGUUCUUCGAAAUCUCUUACGAGAUGACCUAGACGCUUCUACACACGAUCGUUCAUAUCAGAAAUCGAGAAAGAAAAACUCAAAAAAAUUUAUUCCAAUCAAAUAAUCUUACCUCUGACGGUAGGGUUUGACUCGCUAAUGGAUGCACUAUUCUUUGCCACUUCACUACUUCGAUUUUUCAAAGUUAGGGUUGAAUACGAAAAUCGUGUGCUCUCAAAUGGGGAAGCUUCACUCUUAGAUUUCGAUUUUGGGUUUCGAUUUGGCAACGAGUUUCAUACAUUGGAUUUGGAAACCAGUAAGCUUUGGGAUUUCGCUUUUGGGAUUUGGCUUUUGGAUCUGGGAACAAAGUUCAGAGCUUUAAUUUGGAAACAUGGUUGAAAGUUUUGAUUUGUGAACGCAAUUUAGAGGUUUGAUCUGGCAACGACGUUCAGAGCUUUGGUUUGGAAACAACCUUCAGAGGUGAGAUUAAGAGGUUCAAAGGUGUUCUCAUUCAGGAUGGGCAUUUGUUUCUGAAACCAAAACAUUUUCAAAAUUUUCCAAACAAAAAAAA
rnacentral:lncRNA from 1 species